rnacentral:rRNA from 1 species
GAUGAACGCUGGCGGCGUGCCUAAUACAUGCAAGUCGAGCGAACGGACGAGAAGCUUGCUUCUCUGAUGUUAGCGGCGGACGGGUUAGUAACACGUGGAUAACCUACCUAUAAUACUGGGAUAACUUCGUGAAACCGUAGCUAAUACCGGAUAAUAUUUUGACCCGCAUGUUUCAAUAGUGAAAGACGGUCUUUCUGUCACUUAUAGAUGGAUCCGCGCUGCAUUAGCUAGUUGGUAAGGUAACGGCUUACCAAGGCAACGAUGCAUAGCCGACCUGAGAGGGUGAUCGGCCACACUGGAACUGAGACACGGUCAAGACUCCUACGGGAGGCAGCAGUAGGGAAUCUUCCGCAAUGGGCGAAAGCCUGACGGAGCAAAGCCGCGUGAGUGAUGAAGGUCUUCGGAUCGUAAAACUCUGUUAUUAGGGAAGAACAUAUGUGUAAGUAACUGUGCACAUCUUGACGGUACCUAAUCAGAAAGCCACGGCUAACUACGUG